rnacentral:rRNA from 1 species
UACGUAGGGUGCAAGCGUUGUCCGGAAUUAUUGGGCGUAAAGAGCUCGUAGGCGGUCUGUCGCGUCUGCUGUGAAAACUCAGGGCUUAACCCUGAGCUUGCAGUGGGUACGGGCAGACUAGAGUGCGGUAGGGGAGACUGGAAUUCCUGGUGUAGCGGUGAAAUGCGCAGAUAUCGGGAAGAACACCCGUGGCUAAGGUGGCUCUCUAGUACGGUACUGACGCUGAGACGCGAAAGCGUGGGGAGCGAACAGG